AUUGAACGCUGGCGGAAUGCUUUACACAUGCAAGUCGAACGGCAGCACGGGGGCAGCCCUGGUGGCGAGUGGCGAACGGGUGAGUAAUACAUCGGAACGUGCCCCGUCGUGGGGGAUAACGUAGCGAAAGUUACGCUAAUACCGCAUACGAUCUGCGGAUGAAAGCGGGGGACCUUCGGGCCUCGCGCGAUCGGAGCGGCCGAUGUCCGAUUAGGUAGUUGGUGGGGUAAAGGCCUACCAAGCCGACGAUCUGUAGCUGGUCUGAGAGGACGACCAGCCACACUGGGACUGAGACACGGACCAGACUCCUACGGGAGGCAGCAGUGGGGAAUGUUGGACAAUGGGCGCAAGCCUGAUCCAGCCAUCCCGCGUGCAGGACGAAGGCCUUCGGGUUGUAAACUGCUUUUGUACGGAACGAAAAGGCUCUGGCUAAUACCUGGGGCUCAUGACGGUACCGGAAGAAUAAGCACCGGCUAACUACGUG
rnacentral:rRNA from 1 species